rnacentral:rRNA from 1 species
GACGAACGCUGGCGGCGUGGAUUAGGCAUGCAAGUCGAACGGUAUCAUCCUUUCGGGGAUGAGAGAGUGGCGAACGGGUGAGUAACACGUAGGUGAUCUACCCUCAAGACGGGGACAACCCAGGGAAACUUGGGCUAAUACCGGAUGUGAGCUAUCGCGAGAUAGUUUGAAAGGUGGCUUCGGCUGCCGCUUGAGGAUGAGCCUGCGUCCUAUUAGCUAGUUGGUGAGGUAACGGCUCACCGAGGCGAUGAUAGGUAGGCGGCCUUAACGGGUGGUCGCCCACACUGGGAUUGAGAUACGGCCCAGACUCCUACGGGAGGCGGCAGUCGAGAAUAGUCUACAAUGGUCGAAAGACUGAUAGUGCGACGCCGCGUGAACGAAGAAGCCCUUCGGGGUGUAAAGUUCUUUUAUAUGUGAGCAGUGCUUUCUAUGUGAACAGCAUGGGGAGAGAGAUAUUAGCAUAAUGAAUAAGCAACGGCUAACUCCGUGCC